rnacentral:rRNA from 1 species
GACGAACGCUGGCGGCGCGCUUAACACAUGCAAGUCGAACGGAAAGGCCCUGCUUUUGUGGGGUGCUCGAGUGGCGAACGGGUGAGUAACACGUGAGUAACCUGCCCUUGACUUUGGGAUAACUUCAGGAAACUGGGGCUAAUACCGGAUAGGAGCUCCUGCUGCAUGGUGGGGGUUGGAAAGUUUCGGCGGUUGGGGAUGGACUCGCGGCUUAUCAGCUUGUUGGUGGGGUAGUGGCUUACCAAGGCUUUGACGGGUAGCCGGCCUGAGAGGGUGACCGGCAACAUUGGGACUGAGAUACGGCCCAGACUCCUACGGGAGGCAGCAGUGGGGAAUAUUGCACAAUGGGCGGAAGCCUGAUGCAGCAACGCCGCGUGCGGGAUGACGGCCUUCGGGUUGUAAACCGCUUUCGCCUGUGACGAAGCGUGAGUGACGGUAAUGGGUAAAGAAGCACCGGCUAACUACGUG